rnacentral:rRNA from 1 species
GAUGAACGCUGGCGGCGUGCCUAAUACAUGCAAGUCGAGCGAACAGACGAGGAGCUUGCUCCUCUGACGUUAGCGGCGGACGGGUGAGUAACACGUGGAUAACCUACCUAUAAGACUGGGAUAACUUCGGGAAACCGGAGCUAAUACCGGAUAAUAUAUUGAACCGCAUGGUUCCAUAGUGAAAGACGGUUUUGCUGUCACUUAUAGAUGGAUCCGCGCCGCAUUAGCUAGUUGGUAAGGUAACGGCUUACCAAGGCAACGAUGCGUAGCCGACCUGAGAGGGUGAUCGGCCACCCUGGAACUGAGACACGGUCCAGACUCCUACGGUAGGCAGCAGUAGGGAAUCUUCCGCAAUGGGCGAAAGCCUGACGGUGCAACGCCGCGUGAGUGAUGAAGGUCUUCCGAUCGUAAAACUCUGUUAUUUGGGAAGAACAAAUGUGUAAGUAACUAUGCACGUCUUGACGGUACCUAAUCAGAAAGCCACGGCUAACUACGUG